AAUAAAUCCUGGCGCAGCAGCCCCAGCCCUGCGCGUUUGUUGAUGUUACGCGAAGCAGACGCCUGCGCGAUAGGGUUCGGCCGACGCAGCCAGUCUGGGCCCUUGGCGUUCGGGAAAAUUAAACAUCCUAGGUAAAAUUGUGGAUCUGGUUAAACAUGCCUGAAAUAAAGUCCAUGUUUCGGGAAGUCCUUCCUAAACAAGGUCAACUCUCCUUCGAGGAUGUUCCCUCAAUGGUACUCUGUAAGCCAAAGCUGCUGCCACUUAAAUCAGUAACACUUGAAAAGAUGGAGAAAAUGCAAAGGGAAGCAGAGGCAACCAUACGGCAACAGGAAUUGGCACAAAGAGAACAGCAAGAACUGUGUGGGCUUACUCAAUUGAAUGAUACUCUGGAUAUUAAAGAAAUCAAGAGGUACGCUGUGACACAGAAACGUGGUGGGCAAGUUUCAGUUGCUAAUUUGAUGCUCCACCUAGGAUGGAUGAAAAGCAUGCAGGAGCCAGCCAGAUUCAAACUCGGGACAAUCUGCCUUGAAGUCUAGUGCUGAUGCCACUACACCACCAGCCAUCAAUGUAAACAAAACAAAUGCCUCUGAAUUUCUGCCUCUAUCUGCACAUACAUGGAAAUCUCUGAACUGUGAAUGUUUUCAAACACCUUUGUCCUGUGGCACUGGAGGUGAAAUCCAUGUCUCUCUGGGAAACAGCAGAAGCAGCCAUCAUUAACAUCUCAAUCGAUCGCAGAAGAGACAAAACUAGCCCACAUAUACCAAUUUGCUAAAGUGUCCCAUAGGCUUGGAAAUGACUAGUAUAAGAAAUUAAAAAUAAAUAAAUGUUAUACUGAUGCAGUCGUGACCUGCUGCAAACUAAAACCAAGGAAUAUUGCAGCAAUGAAGCAGGGAGCUUCAAUUUGCUUUGUAACACCCAAUUUGAUUUGCUUUAUACUGGCAUGAAAUGCUUGCAAAAGAAAAACACUGCAUUCCCAACAGUAAGUGUGAAGAAAAACAAAGAAACUCA